rnacentral:misc_RNA from 1 species
UUUCCGUAGGUGAACCUGCGGAAGGAUCAUUCAUAAUAAGUGUUUUAUGGCACUUUUUAAAUCCAUAUCCACCUUGUGUGCAAUGUCAGGGGUGAUUUUUCUCUCGAGAGGAUCAGCCCCAAACAUCAACUAUAUCUCAACUCUUUGUCUGAAAAAUAUUAUGAAUAAAACAAUUCAAAAUACAACUUUCAACAACGGAUCUCUUGGCUCUC